rnacentral:rRNA from 1 species
UACAGAGGGUGCGAGCGUGUUCGGAAUUAUUGGGCGUAAAGCGCUUGUAGGCGGCUUGUUAAGUUCCGUGUGAAAUCCCCAGGCUUAACCUGGGAAGUGCGCGGAAAACUGGCGAGCUUGAGUGCCGGAGAGGGUCGCGGAAUUCCCGGUGUAGAGGUGAAAUUCGUAGAUAUCGGGAGGAACACCUGUGGCGAAAGCGGCGCACUGGACCACAACUGACGCUGAGGCGCGAAAGCUAGGGGAGCAAACAGG